GCGAGAUGGCUUUCGGAGACUACCCAGCUGAGUACAACCCAAAGGUUCAUGGGCCCUACGACCCGGCCCGCUUCUACGGCAAAGGUGAGAAGAGGCCGCG
rfam:Drosophila ficusphila unplaced genomic scaffold scf7180000453342, whole genome shotgun sequence